GAUGAACGCUGGCGGCGUGCCUAAUACAUGCAAGUCGAGCGAACAGACGAGGAGCUUGCUCCUCUGACGUUAGCGGCGGACGGGUGAGUAACACGUGGAUAACCUACCUAUAAUACUGGGAUAACUUCGGGAAACCGGAGCUAAUACCGGAUAAUAUAUUGAACCGCAUGGUUCAAUAGUGAAAGACGGUUUUGCUGUCACUUAUAGAUGGAUCCGCGCCGUAUUAGCUAGUUGGUAAGGUAACGGCUUACCAAGGCGACGAUGCGUAGCCGACCUGAGAGGGUGAUCGGCCACACUGGAACUGAAACACGGUCCAGACUCCUACGGGAGGCAGCAGUAGGGAAUCUGCCGCAAUGGGCGAAAGCCUGACGGAGCAACGCCGCGUGAGUGAUGAAGGUCUUCGGAUCGUAAAACUCUGUUAUUAGGGAAGAACAAAUGUGUAAGUAACUAUGCACGUCUUGACGGUACCUAAUCAGAAAGCAACGGCUAACUACGUG
rnacentral:rRNA from 1 species